rnacentral:rRNA from 1 species
GACGAACGCUGGCGGCGUGCUUAACACAUGCAAGUCGAACGGAAAGACCCUGCUUUUGUUGGGUUCUCGAGUGGCGAACGGGUGAGUAACACAUGGGUAACCUGCCCUUGACUUUGGGAUAACUUCAGGAAACUGGGGCUAAUACCCGAUAGGAGCUCCUGCUGCAGGGUGGGGGUUGGAAAGUUUCGGCGGUUGGGGAUGGACUCGCGGCGUAUUAGCGUGGUGGGGGGGUAGAGGCUUACUAAGGCGUUGACGUGUAGCCGACCUGAGAGGGUGAACGGCGACACUGGAAGUGAGACACGGCCCAGACUCCUACGGGAGGCAGCAGUGGGGAAUGGUGGGCAAUGGGCGAAAAUCUGACACAGCGAGGGCACGUGUGUGAAGAAAGCCUUCGGGGUGGAAAGCCGUGUUGUGGGGAAAAAACAGCUUUGCCCUAAAACAGGCGGGGAAUGACGGUACCGGAAAAAAAAGCACCGGCUAACUACGUG